AGGGGGCUUAGUGGUGGGGUGACUGCGUACCUUUUGUAUAAUGGGUCAGCGACUUAUAUUCUGUAGCAAGGUUAACCGUAUAGGGGAGCCGGAGGGAAACCGAGUCUUAAUUGGGCGUUAAGUUGCAGGGUAUAGACCCGAAACCCGGUGAUCUAGCCAUGGGCAGGUUGAAGGUUGGGUAACACUAACUGGAGGACCGAACCGACUAAUGUUGAAAAAUUAGCGGAUGACCUGUGGCUGGGGGUGAAAGGCCAAUCAAACCGGGAGAUAGCUGGUUCUCCCCGAAAGCUAUUUAGGUAGCGCCUCGUGAAUUCAUCUCCGGGGGUAGAGCACUGUUUCGGCUAGGGGGCCAUCCCGGCUUACCAACCCGAUGCAAACUGCGAAUACCGGAGAAUGUUAUCACGGGAGACACACGGCGGGUGCUAACGUCCGUCGUGAAGAGGGAAACAACCCAGACCGCCAGCUAAGGUCCCAAAGUCAUGGUUAAGUGGGAAACGAUGUGGGAAGGCCCAGACAGCCAGGAUGUUGGCUUAGAAGCAGCCAUCAUUUAAAGAAAGCGUAAUAGCUCACUGGUCGAGUCGGCCUGCGCGGAAGAUGUAACGGGGCUAAACCAUGCACCGAAGCUGCGGCAGCGAACGUAUCACCCAAGACAACUUUACGGAGUUGACGAUUGACGGAGCGAAGCGACGUCAAAGCGUUCAUUAAAGUCGAGUUGGCUUAGGGAUACGUUCGUUGGGUAGGGGAGCGUUCUGUAAGCCUGUGAAGGUGUGUCGUGAGGCAUGCUGGAGGUAUCAGAAGUGCGAAUGCUGACAUAAGUAACGAUAAAGCGGGUGAAAAGCCCGCUCGCCGGAAGACCAAGGGUUCCUGUCCAACGUUAAUCGGGGCAGGGUGAGUCGACCCCUAAGGCGAGGCCGAAAGGCGUAGUCGAUGGGAAACGGGUUAAUAUUCCCGUACUUGGUGUUACUGCGAAGGGGGGACGGAGAAGGCUAUGUUGGCCGGGCGACGGUUGUCCCGGUUUAAGCGUGUAGGUGUGUGUUCCAGGUAAAUCCGGUUCACUUUAACACUGAGGCGUGACGACGAGGCACUACGGUGCUGA
rnacentral:rRNA from 1 species